GAUAUCAUUAGUCAUGACCAGGGCGAUGAGCAAGCCAGCCGAUCCUGAAAAGUCCAAGCUGUCCAGUUAUGUGGUGACGGGUGUCCAAUAUAGAAUGGAAGAACCUUCUGGACUCCUUCAAGGAAAUCUACCAGAGUUGGGGUGAAGAGAAUACUUACACAUCCUACAAUUACUGUUUACCUCAGUCUACCUACAAGGGUUAUCCAGAAUGUUAUCGACCACAAGCCAGAAGACCCAUUAUUCCACCGCUGUGGAUGAUUCCAUGUACACUGGAGGAUAUUGUAUCAUGUGGCUCAGCUGGUAGAGCACGGCGCCUGCCUUCGCCAAGAUGUGGGUUUGAUUCCCAUUGGGGACCCGUAUGGGAAAAAGUCAAUGUAUUCAUUCACAACUGUAAGUCACUCUGGCUAAGACUGUCUAUUAAAUGACUGAAAUGUAAAUAUUAUAUAUAUAAAAUUUAAAAAACAUAAGCUAAGCCAGACAUAUCUAUGAUCAUUAAGUGUAUUUGUAAAAUUGUUGCAUUUCUUUAUUUGAAAUAUAUGUGUAGAUUGAAUUGUUUGGUGUUUUCUGUAUAGAUAAUAAGGGGUGGGAGCCUAGCAGUUAAGAGUGUUGGGCCGGUAACCGAAAGGUCGCUGAUUCGAUAAGCUGAUUCGAUUCCCUGAGCCAACUACAUGAAAAAUCUGUUGAUGUGCCCUUGAGCAAGGCACUUAACCCUAAUUGCGCCUGUAAGUUGCUCUGGAUAAGAGCGUCUGCUAAAUGACUCAAAUGUUCGGUCUAGUGCAGAUCAAGAAAGUCCUGCUGAGGCUCUGACGGUAUGUCUAAUUUAAUCCCUGUCUCAGGUUUAGGAAAUCUAAUUCAGAAAUGACAAUGGACAGUUGGAGCAUAUCUUCACUAGCCUGGUCCCAGAUCAGUUUGUUUGACAGUCUUGACAACUCCUAUGGUCGACGAUGGGAGGACAUUGGCAACACAGCAGUAGAUCUGGGACUGGUCUAAAUUGGAGCAUCAGUUUGACUCAUUUAAAAAAUAAAAAUGCACACAGAUGUGGAUUACUGGAGUGUCAAUUUGUGGAUAUAACCAGUCUGAAGGAUACCUUCAAUCUCCACUGGGUGUCUGA